rnacentral:rRNA from 1 species
GAUGAAUGCUGGCGGCGUGGAUGAGGCAUGCAAGUCGAAUGAAUUUAGAUUCAUGGCAGACGAGGUAGGAACACGUAGGUACGUACCCUAAAGUCAGGGAUAACCUGUCGAAAGGCAGAAUAAUACUUGAUGGUCCCUUCGGGGUAAAGAUUUAUCGCUUUAGGAACGGCCUGCGGUCUAUCAGCUUGUUGGUAAGGUAACGGCUUACCAAGGCUACGACGGAUAGGGGAGGUGAGAGCCUGACCCCCACCGAUGGAACUGCGACACGGUCCAUACUCCUACGGGAGGCUGCAGUCGAGAAUCUUCCGCAAUGGACGAAAGUCUGACGGAGCGACGCCGCGUGGUGGAUGAAGCCCUUAGGGGCGUAAACACCUUUUAUGAAGGAGGAAUUUUAUUGACGUUACUUCAUGAAUAAGGGGCUCCCAACUCUG